AUGCCAGCUGAGAUCUUUUGGCACGGCACCCCAUGUGCCCAUCACCACUGGGACCACCUGCACUGGUUUCUGCCAGAGUCUUUGAAGUUCAAUCUUGAGGUCCUGAUAGCGGCUGAGAUCUUUUGGCACGGCACCCAAUGUGCCCAUCACCACCGGGACCACCUGCACUGGUUUCUGCCAGAGUCUUUGAAGUUCAAUCUUGAGGUCCUGAUAGCGGCUGAGUUUUUCCUGUUGUUUUUCAUCAAUGCGACUGUCACCUGGGAUGGCGACAUCAAUUAUCCAAACCUUGUUCUUUUCCACAACUGUGAUAUCUGGUGUGUUGUGUUCCAGAACUUUGUCAGUCUGGAUUCGGAAGUCCCACAGUAUCUUUGCGUGUUCAUUUAUUAUUAUUAUCAUUUAUUAUUAUUAUUAUUAUUAUUAUUAUUAUUAUUAUUAUUAUUAUUAUUAUUAUUAUUUUCACUGGCCAAUGCACAUUUUAUAUCUUAUGCAUGGGUAUGUCACUAACAGGAUGCCAGCCUUGGUUUGAACAUCCAAAAUACUAAAGAGCUUUCUUUUGGAUUUACACUUAACUGGCUUUGUAAGUCACAUCCAAUUCUGAAUUGCAACAGUUCACACAACACAACCUUUCUUCAUUUAUGAUAUGGGAAGCCAUGCCAGCGCUGCAGUAUUUUACCAAAACCAUUAUUUCUAUUAUCAUGUAUUAACAAACUUGUUGCAGUCACGAAGGCUUACACAGAGAGAACCAGGCAAGGCAUGUCUUCAGGCAUUUGUAUAUGAAAACAGCACGUCCAGGGAGAGGUGAACAUGCAGCUUGUGGUGAGCAACUCCACUAAUUUCACAUUCCUGUUUCAGAGUAUGAACAUACAUUUGCACACAUACCACUCUGCACAUGUGUGAUAAUAAAGGGAGAAAGUUAGCUCAGGUCAAUCUUCUUCCCACUCCAACUGCUGGGAAUCAGCCGAAUUUUGCCGACCAGAUGCCAUGGAAACGCCAAUCCUACAAAAAUAUUCAAUAGCACUUCCUUUUUAAAAAAUAACUAAUUGAGGCGCAGAGGACUGACACCCAUUGGAAUUCAUUCCCUGUGAGCUGCUGAGAAGGACAGCAAGGGUUGCUGGGAAAUAAAGACAGGCAUGGGUGCCCAGUGCUCAUUGGCAAGCUGAGGGGCCUUUCAGUGUGCUGGACCAAAUUUCUACAUUCAGGGAGUAAUGAAACGAUGUAAAAUCCUUGUGUUUGCCCACAUUUAUGCAUUAUUAACCAGUUCUUUCUCCCAUUCCUUCUCCCCAUUUCUCCUGCUUUGCUUUCAUUUAUAUAUCUAUAUAUAAAAGGGUGAUGAAAUUUCGGCCUAGGACAAAACAACAAAACUACACAUCCCAGAAACACUAAACUUGGCAGCACAACCCCUCAUCCAUGCCUCUACGUUCAUUCAACAAAAAGAAAAGAAAAAUAGUCCUAAUUAGAGGGAGGGGAAUAAUUGUUUUUAUCCAAUUGCUGCCAGUUAAAAGCCUAAGCUCCGCCCACUUGGUGUCCUAGCAACCCACUCAGCCCAGGGGACAGGCAGAGUUAGGCCUCACUUAGGCCUCUUCCCCACUGCCUAUAAAAUACAGAUUAUCAGAUUUGAACUGGAUUAUAUGGCAGUGCAGACUCAAGGCCCUUCCACACAGCUAUAGAACCCAUUUAUAAUCUUAUAUUAUCUCCUUUGAACUGGAUUAUCUUGACUCCACACUGCCAUAUAAUCCAUUUCAGUGUGCAGUCGGACACAACUGGACUUAAUGUCAUGAGAAAACCUUUACCCUUUACCUUAACUACCACCAAUUCCUCAAUACUUUAUUUCCCAUACCACCAGACUUCGCCACAGCAACGCGUGGCCGGGCACAGCUAGUAUACACACACACACACACACACACACACACAUAUAUACACACACACACACAUACACACACACACACACACACACAUAAAGGAGCCCCGGUGGCGAAGUGUGUUAAAGCACUGAGCUGAAGACUGAAAGGUCCCAGGUUCAAAUCCUGGGAGCGGAGUGAGUGCCCGCUGUUAGCUCCAGCUCCUGCCAACCUAGCAGUUCGAAAACAUGCCAAUGUGAGUAGAUUAAUAGGUACCGCUCCGGUGGGAAGGUAACGGCGCUCCAUGCAGUCAUGCUGGCCACAUGGCCUUGGAGGUGUCUACAGACAAUGCUGGCUCUUCGGCUUAGAAAUGGAGAUGAGCACCAACCCCCAGAGUCAGACAUGACUGGACUUAAAGUCAGGGGAAACCUUUACCUUAUAUACAUACAUACAUACAUACACACACACACACAUACAAACUUAGUCCUUCCCAUCCCAAAUUGACCUCCAAUGAAUUGGUAGCACUUUAUCUGUUAUCUUGAGUUUACAACCUAUAACAAAGUGCACUUUAGCUAGUCUAUCACUCAACUUCGCUGCUUUUAAUUCCGUGUUUUAUUAAGUGUGUUUUUAUUUCAUAGGUUAAUGUUUAAAUUUUAUG
rnacentral:lncRNA from 1 species